GACAGAGGUGCCGAGCGUUAGGCGGAAUCACUGGGCUUAAAGCGUGUGUAGGCGGGCGAUCAAGUACCUUGUGAAAUCCCACGGCUCAACCGUGGAACCGCUGGGUAUACUGGUUGUCUUGAGCCGGCUAGGGGCGAGCGGAACAGACGGUGGAGCGGUGAAAUGCGUAGAUAUCAUUUGGAACGCCAAUGGUGAAAACAACUCGCUGGGGGUGUGCUGACGCUGAGACACGAAAGCCAGGGGAGCGAACGGG
rnacentral:rRNA from 1 species